GACAGGGGUGGCGAGCGUUGUUCGGAUUUAUUGGGCGUAAAGCGAACGCAGGUGGUUUGGUAAGUCAGGGGUGAAAGUCCGCAGCUUAACUGCGGCACUGCCUUUGAUACUGCCUUUCUUGAGUGCAUGAGGGGGAAGCGGAAUUCCGAGUGUAGAGGUGAAAUUCGUAGAUAUUCGGAGGAACACCGGUGGCGAAGGCGGCUUCCUGGCAUGUAACUGACACUCAUGUUCGAAAGCGUGGGUAGCAAACAGGAUUAGAUACCCCAGUAGU
rnacentral:rRNA from 1 species